rnacentral:rRNA from 1 species
GAUGAACGCUCGCGGCAGGCCUAACACAUGCAAGUCGAGGGAUAAGCCUUCGGGCUCAGCCCGGCGUACGGGUGCGUAACGCGUAUACACACUUCCUUUUAUCCCGGGUAUAGCCCGAAGAAAUUUGGAUUAAUACCCUAUGUUACAAGAGCACGGCCUCGUUCACUUAUUAAAGCUACGGCGGUAAAAGAUGAGUAUGUGUUCUAUUAGCUAGUUGGAGUGCUAACGGCUCGCUAAGGCGUCGAUAGAUAGGGGUUCUGAGAGGGAUGUCCCCCACAGUGGUACUGAGAUACUGGCCACAGUGCUACGGGAGGCAGGAGUAAGGGAUAUUGGACAAUGGUCGGUAGACUGAUCCGGCCAUGCCGGAUGCAGGAUGACGGCCUUAUGGAUUAUAAACUUCUUUUGGAAAGCAAGAAUAAGGAGUACGGGUACAUUAAUGACGGUAACGUAUAAAUAAGCAUCGGCUAACUCCGUG